UACGAAGGUGGCAAGCGUUGUUCGGAAUCACUGGGCUUAAAGGGCGCGUAGGCGGACCAGAAAGUGUCUUGUGAAAUCCCCCGGCUUAACCGGGGAAUGGCUCGGCAAACUACUGGUCUUGAGGCAAGUAGGGGUGUGUGGAACUCUUGGUGGAGCGGUGGAAUGCGUAGAUAUCAAGAGGAACGCCGAAGGUGAAGACAGCACACUGGACUUGUACUGACGCUGAGGCGCGAAAGCGUGGGGAGCAAACAGGAUUAGAUACCCUGGUAGUCCACGCUGUAAACGAUGCCUACUAGGUUGUGGGGGUUCUGACACCGUCACAGUCGUAGCAAAAGUGUUAAGUAGGCCGCCUGGGGAGUACGGUCGCAAGGCUAAA
rnacentral:rRNA from 1 species